rnacentral:rRNA from 1 species
GACGAACGCUGGCGGCGUGCUUAACACAUGCAAGUCGAACGGAAAGGCCCUGCUUUUGUGGGGUGCUCGAGUGGCGAACGGGUGAGUAACACGUGAGUAACCUGCCCUUGACUUUGGGAUAACUUCAGGAAACUGGGGCUAAUACCGGAUAGGAGCUCCUGCUGCAUGGUGGGGGUUGGAAAGUUUCGGCGGUUGGGGAUGGACUCGCGGCUUAUCAGCUUGUUGGUGGGGUAGUGGCUUACCAAGGCUUUGACGGGUAGCCGGCCUGAGAGGGUGACCGGCCACAUUGGGACUGAGAUACGGCCCAGACUCCUACGGGAGGCAGCAGUGGGGAAUAUUGCACAAUGGGCGGAAGCCUGAUGCAGCAACGCCGCGUGCGGGAUGACGGCCUUCGGGUUGUAAACCGCUUUCGCCAGUGACGUAGCGUGAGUGACGGUAAUGGGUAAAGAAGCACCGGCUAACUACGUG